rnacentral:rRNA from 1 species
UCGUAACAAGGUUUCCGUAGGUGAACCUGCGGAAGGAUCAUUAUCGAAUCUACUCUGAAGAGGCAGAGAGACAGUCGCUGGCUUGACUCCCUGAGUCUUGUAUGUGCACGUCCCCUCGCCUUUUCUAUCUACACACACCUGUGAACCUAUUGUAGAUCCUCUCGAAAGAGAAAGAUCUAUGUUUUCAUUACAUCACACACGUCGUAUGUCUAGAAUGUAAUCAAUCGGUCAUUGAUUUGAUCGACGAUGAUAAUAUGUACAACUUUCAGCAACGGAUCUCUUGGCUCUCGCAUCGAUGAAGAACGCAGCGAAUUGCGAUAAGUAAUGUGAAUUGCAGAUUUCCAGUGAAUCAUCGAAUCUUUGAACGCACCUUGCGCUCCUUGGUAUUCCGAGGAGCAUGCCUGUUUGAGUGUCAUUGAAUUCUCAACCAUUCUCUCUUGAUUAACUUUCGAGGAGAGGUAUGGCUUGGAGUUGGGGGCUGCUGGCAGCACUGUCAGCUCUCCUUAAAUGCAUUAGCGAUUGAGUUGGCUAGUCUUUGACGUGCACGGCCUCGGACGUGAUAAUGAUCGUCGUGGCUGGAGCGUCUUUCCUAGACUAUGCCAAUGGGAUCGCUUCUAAUCAGAAUGGGAGGCACAAAGGGUAGAGUCCCAGACUUGUCAAGCUUAGCUAUUAGGUAGUCUUUUCACUAACGAAAGGCUGGCGAACGCAAGCAAAGCAAGACAACUUGACCUUUUGUCUCCAUUUCUAAGAGACUUGACCUCAAAUCAGGUAGGACUACCCGCUGAACU